rnacentral:rRNA from 1 species
GCACAACGCGAAGAACCUUACCAAGGCUUGACAUAUACCUGAAAAGGCUGGAAACAGUCUCCCCGCAAGGCAGGUAUACAGGUGGUGCAUGGUUGUCGUCAGCUCGUGUCGUGAGAUGUUGGGUUAAGUCCCGCAACGAGCGCAACCCUCGUUCUAUGUUGCCAGCACGUAAUGGUGGGAACUCAUAGGAGACUGCCGGGGUCAACUCGGAGGAAGGUGGGGAUGACGUCAAAUCAUCAUGCCCCUUAUGUCUUGGGCUUCACGCAUGCUACAAUGGCCGGUACAAAGGGCUGCAAUACCGUAAGGUGGAGCGAAUCCCAAAAAGCCGGUCUCAGUUCGGAUUGAGGUCUGCAACUCGACCUCAUGAAGUCGGAGUCGCUAGUAAUCGCAGAUCAGCAACGCUGCGGUGAAUACGUUCCCGGGGUCUUGUACACACCG